AAACCAUGGUAUAAACUGUCAAUCACCUUUCUGCGUCGUGUUUAUAUGAAGCUAGGGAGGCAGGUGGCGGGUGCUGUACCAACAUCAAUCAAUUGUUGCAAGAACGAAGGCUCCAAAAACAUCAGAAAAAAUGGCGGAAGGCGGCUGCAGCCAUGACUACGAGGAGGAGGAGGAGACACUGCUGCAGAAAGAUAAGUACGUGGAAGGUUGCCCAGGAUGUAAAGUCGAUAAGCGUACAGACAUCCGGAGAGGAUUGCCGAUCAAGGAAGUUCUCCUAAUAUGGAUUAUUAUCCUUUCCACUGCUCUGACGAUAACCUCUCUCUUCCCAUUCGUUUAUUUCAUGGUAAGGGAUUUCGGCAUUGCUGAAAGAGAAGAAGACAUUAGUUAUUACGCCGGUUUUGUAGGUUCUUCUUACAUGCUUGGAAGAGCUUUGACUUCCGUAGUUUGGGGAACUAUUGCAGAUCGAUAUGGCCGGAGGAUUGUAAUAAUCAUAGGCUGCGCCGCAGUCGUAGUGUUCAAUACUCUGUUCGGACUUAGCGUAAACUUUUGGAUGGCUCUCGCGACUAGGUUUCUCCUCGGAACUUUAACCGGUGUAUUCGGAACUACGAAGGCGUAUGCGUGCGAACUGGUCGGGGAUGAGUACCAUGCAUUAGGAAUAUCUGCGGUUAGUACAGCAUGGGGCACUGGACUCAUCAUUGGACCGGCUUUGGGAGGCUUUCUUGCUCAGCCUGCGGAUAAGUUUCCAGGAAUAUUUGCAUCGGAUUCGAUAUUCGCCAGAUUUCCGUACUUCCUGCCGUGCUUGUUUCCUUCGGUUUUCGCAGCUAUCGUCACUCUUGUUUGUUUCUGGAUUCCGGAAACAUUGCACACGCACCCGAUGACAAAGCAGCUGUCCGAAGCCACAAUGCAAGGAUCCGAGGAGGUCAUAGACCGGCGGGGGAAAGGUUCUCCAAAAGAAAGCCUUUUGAAGAACUGGCCCCUUGUAUCGUCCAUCGCUGUUUAUUGUGUCUUUUCCCUUCAUGAUCUGGCUUACACCGAGAUCUUUUCGUUGUGGGCGGAGAACCCCCGAAGGCUCGGGGGCUUAGGCUAUACAACGGAGGAUGUUGGGACAGUUCUUUCAAUCUCCGGCGUCGGAUUGUUAGUGUUUCAGUCCUCAUUGUAUCCACUCUUCGAGAGGAUCUUUGGCCCCAUAGCACUCUGUCGAUUUUUUGGAAUUAUUACGAUUCCUCUGUUAACAAGCUAUCAUUACAUUGCGAAACUGAAUGGGAUUGCCCUCUCCAUCGUGCUCAACUGCGCCUCCUUGGUGAAGAACAUUCUCUCGGUCUCUGUUCUUACAGGACUGGCCAUUUUGCAAAAUAAUGCUGUGUUUUCAGGAUCAGAGGCAGAGAGGAGCUGCCAAUGGUAUUUCGAUUGCGUUAGUGUCGCUGUUACAGACUCUGGGUCCUGCCGGUGGAGGGGCUUUAGUUUCUUGGGCGACAACUCGACUAGAUGCUAGUUUUCUUCCAGGCGAUCUGAUGAUUUUCUUUGUUCUGAAUGUGAUUGAUGCCACGGGAGUUUUGAUGACAUUUAAGCCAUUCUUAGUCGAACGUCGUCAUAAUUGAAUCCAGCUUGGUGGAAGCCGCUACCAAAGUGUGUACGGGGUAACCUGCAAAUUAAGUCCAACAAGGCAAAUCACACUAGAUGAACUAUGUGUGCCACGUGGACCUGGAGGCGUUGGGGUUUGAUUUUACUUUUGAGUAAUGAAAUAUUGUUUGAGCUUAAGUUUGAAUUAUAAUGUACUCUUUCCAUCCCAAAAUAAUACGUUGGAUGGACACUGGAAUUAAAAAAAAUAUUAGUAUUAUAUUGAUAUUAAUGUACAAAUAUUUUUAAAAUAUCAAAAUAUUUUUAUUUUA